UACGUAGGGUGCGAGCGUUAAUCGGAAUUACUGGGCGUAAAGUGUGCGCAGGCGGCCGAGCAAGUCGAGUGUGAAAGCCCCGGGCUUAACUUGGGAAUUGCGCUCGAAACUACUUGGCUGGAGUGUGGCAGAGGAAGGUGGAAUUCCAGGUGUAGCGGUGAAAUGCGUAGAGAUCUGGAGGAACACCGAUGGCGAAGGCAGCUUUCUGGGCCAACACUGACGCUCAUGCACGAAAGCGUGGGGAGCAAACAGG
rnacentral:rRNA from 1 species